ACGGGGUCUGCAGUCGACGAUUCCUACGGGAGGCAGCAGUAAGGGAUAUUGCACAAUGGGCGCAAGCCUGAUGCAGCGACGCCGCGUGAGGGAUGACGGCCUUCGGGUUGUAAACCUCUUUCAGGAAGGACGAAGCGAAAGUGACGGUACUUCCAGAAGAAGCCCCGGCCAACUACGUGCCAGCAGCCGCGGUAAUACGUAGGGGGCAAACGUUGUCCGGAUUUAUUGGGCGUAAAGAGCUCGUAGGCGGCUCAGCAAGUCGGCCGUGAAAGCCCGAGGCUCAACCUCGGGAGGCCGGUCGAAACUGCUGUGGCUAGGGUCCGGUAGAGGAGAGUGGAAUUCCCGGUGUAGCGGUGAAAUGCGCAGAUAUCGGGAGGAACACCAGUAGCGAAGGCGGCUCUCUGGGCCGGUACCGACGCUGAGGAGCGAAAGCGUGGGGAGCAAACAGGAUUAGAUACCCUGGUAGUCCACGCCGUAAACGUUGGGCACUAGGUGUGGCGGACUCAUCAACGUUCGCCGUGCCGAAGCUAACGCAUUAAGUGCCCCGCCUGGGGAGUACGGCCGCAAGGCUAAAACUCAAAGGAAUUGACGG
rnacentral:rRNA from 1 species